rnacentral:rRNA from 1 species
UGGGGAAUUUUGGACAAUGGGCGCAAGCCUGAUCCAGCAAUGCCGCGUGCAGGAAGAAGGCCUUCGGGUUGUAAACUGCUUUUGUACGGAACGAAACGGUCCGGGUUAAUACCCUGGGCUAAUGACGGUACCGUAAGAAUAAGCACCGGCUAACUACGUGCCAGCAGCCGCGGUAAUACGUAGGGUGCAAGCGUUAAUCGGAAUUACUGGGCGUAAAGCGUGCGCAGGCGGUUUUGUAAGACAGGCGUGAAAUCCCCGGGCUCAACCUGGGAAUUGCGCUUGUGACUGCAAGGCUGGAGUGCGGCAGAGGGGGAUGGAAUUCCGCGUGUAGCAGUGAAAUGCGUAAAUAUGCGGAGGAACACCGAUGGCGAAGGCAAUCCCCUGGGCCUGCACUGACGCUCAUGCACGAAAGCGUGGGGAGCAAACAGGAUUAGAUACCCUGGUAGUCCACGCCCUAAACGAUGUCAACUGGUUGUUGGGAAUUUACUUUCUCAGUAACGAAGCUAACGCGUGAAGUUGACCGCCUGGGGAGUACGGCCGCAAGGUUG